rnacentral:rRNA from 1 species
GACGAACGCUGGCGGCGUGCUUAACACAUGCAAGUCGAACGAAGAGCGAUGGAAGCUUGCUUCUAUCAAUCUUAGUGGCGAACGGGUGAGUAACGCGUAAUCAACCUGCCCUUCAGAGGGGGACAACAGUUGGAAACGACUGCUAAUACCGCAUACGAUCUGACCUCGGCAUCGAGGAUAGAUGAAAGGUGGCCUCUAUUUAUAAGCUAUCACUGAAGGAGGGGAUUGCGUCUGAUAAGCUAGUUGGAGGGGUAACGGCCCACCAAGGCGAUGAUCAGUAGCCGGUCUGAGAGGAUGAACGGCCACAUUGGGAGUGAGACACGGCCCAGACUCCUACGGGAGGCAGCAGUGGGGAAUCUUCCGCAAUGGACGAAAGUCUGACGGAGCAACGCCGCGUGAGUGAUGACGGCCUUCGGGUUGUAAAGCU